UUGCAAUGGUAUGUGAUUGCAGAUUCCGUGAAUCAUCAGAAUCUUUAGAACGCACCUUGCGCUCUAUGGCAAUCCGUAGAGCAUGCCUGUUUGAGUGCCAUGAAAUCUCCCACCCCAAGCGGUUUUUACAUGAAACGGCUUGGCGGAUGGGGUCUGGAUGGGUGCCUCUGCCUGCGCUACCUAGCACAGGCUCGCCCGAAAUGCAUGAGCGCCUUGAGACACUUUGCAUCCGCCUCUCUGUUUGGGAGGAGGCGGCCAAGCACGGUUUUUCUCCUGCCAUGGCAUGAUACGUCAUUUGCUAUGUCGCCUAAGGGAGAAAGGUUUGGUUGUG
rnacentral:misc_RNA from 1 species